rnacentral:lncRNA from 8 species
CUUGUGAGUAACACUAAACCUAACCUAACUAUUAUUGUAAAGUGGUUGUUCCACUGGAUAUCAUAAGGUGAAUGCACCAAUUUGUAAGUCGCUCUGGAUAAGAGCGUCUGCUAAAUGACGUAAAUGUAAAUGUAAAUGUCUAACCUAACCUAACCUAACCUAACACUAAUAAUAAUAUAUCUAUGGUUCCACAGUGUGGGGGAGCUGAGUGAACAAAUGAAGCUGAUGGACCAGGAGGACGAGCAGAUGUAUGAAAUGCACGGUCACAUGAUCUACAAACAAUUCCUGUUGCCCUUCCUGUUGAAUCACAACUCCUCAGACCCACAGUGCAUCUCUUCAGCCAGUAGCAGUGCAGACUGGCUGAUCAAGAACUUUGGUGGAUUCUCUGCAUUCGCUCCUCUGAGGGAUUUCUAUGAUCUAAAUGGUCAUUUCUCUGCUUUGUCAGCCCUGGAGGUUCUCUCUCCAAAGCAGACUGCAGAGCUGGUGGUGUUGCCUCUUCCUGGUCUUCCAGGGAAAGCUGUCAUCAUCAACACAGUGUUUGACUACCUGACUGAGUCACCAAAGGAGAGGAAACUCCCUGACUUCCUGUACCACCUCAUAAGGCUGUCUGCGGAGAUAACAAUGCCCUGCAAAUCCUACAAAAUCAUCUUUGAGCGUCUGUACCAGGCCUUAUCGUCUGUACCUCCAGAGAUGGAACCAGUUGUCUGGGCCAACAUAGACAACCUGAUGCAGACCGCUCCAGAAGGUUGUGGAUUGGAUGAACAGUGCCCAUCAACACCAUUUAAUUAUACCAGAGUCUGUGCUGGAGUCAACAGCUAUCCACUACAACACCACCUGCACAUGGGGAAUAUGACAGAAGUUCUAUGCAAUUUCAGCUUGGAACAGUAUGCUUGUUCACAGCUGAAAGACUUCACUGCAGAACACCUGGUGUCUCUUCUGAAAUGUAAACUGCCUGGCAACUCCUCUCACUCGAAAGAGACCUGGAAGGUUCUCCUCACCAAACUGACCUCUGUCUUAGACCAAGCUCUGGACAUGUUCUCCAAUAUGUCCAAACCUGUGAUUGGCCCUGCAGUAUCCCAGGCACUGGAUGUGAUUGGAGAGAUCCGGGUCAACAGGCUGACUGACGAUCAGUUGAGAGACAGUGAUGUCAUCAGGAAGUGGUUCUCUGGGCGUCUGAGACUGUUCCUGCCGUCUGCAUCAGGAGGGUUUCUGCACUGCCUCAGCACCAAGAACCUCAGCUGUGACACGUAUCAACAGAUACUGAGGGAGUUCAGCAAUCAAUUUGACCAAAUGGACCAGAAGAGACAAGAGCUGGUGGUAAAAUACUUCAUCCAGCCCUUCCUGACCAAAAACUCCUCAGACUCUGGCUGUGUGUCCAACUCUAACAGCAGUGUGGACUGGCUGCAGAAGAACUUGGGGCGGUUUUCAGUCCUGCUGUCCCUCAGCGACCUGUUGAAACUCAACACAGACUUCUCUCCGUUGUCAUCCCUGGAGGUUCUCUCUUCAAAGCAGACUGCAGAGCUGUUGGUGUUGCCUCUUCCUGGUCCUCCAGAGAAAGCUGUCAUCAUCAACACAGUAUUUGACUACCUGACUGAGUCACCAAGGGAGAGGAGACUCCCUGAGUUCCUGCAACAACUUGUCAGCCUGACCAAACAGGAAAAUAUCCCUUGUGCCUCCUACAAGAUCAUUUUCACCAGACUGGACGAGGCCGUACCCACUGUUACCAUGGAGAUAGAGUCAGCCCUCACCUCCAGCAAGACGGCUUUACUACAGACCGUCCCAUCAGGUUGCAUUGUAUACAGUGGAGAGUGCAAUGUCACCCCAGUUAAUGAGACAAAAGUUUGUGCUGGCGUCGACAGCACUGCUCUACAGGGUCACCUUGACAACGGGCAGAUCAGCGGAGUCCUCUGUGAUUUCAGCGUCGAUGUUUACGCUUGUGGCUCGCUGUCUGUGUUGACAUCAGAUAACUUGGUGAGCCUGUUGAAGUGUAAGCUGUCUGGAAACACCAGCCACUCAGCACAGAUCUGGAAACUGUUCUUCUCUAAGGUCUCAGUGGUUCUGGACUCAGCCCUGGAUCUCUUCUCCAACACCACACUAGACCCCAGCUCUCCAGCAGUGUCCCAGGCCCUGGAUGCUAUAAGAGAAGUAAGGCUGGACAGCUUCAGCCUGGCUAGUCUCAGAGAUCAGAAAAUCAUCAACCUCUGGUUCAACACCAGACUCCGUCCCUUCCUACCUGCCGUCUCCACUGACUUCCUGUCCUGCCUCAGCACCAAGAACUUCAGCUGCUCCACCUACCAGACCAUCGUUCAGAUCCUGAGCAGCCACCACUCAGCCAUGGACCAGUCCAGACAGAUAUCAGUCUACACUACCUUCAUAGAGGUCUUUCUCUCCAGGAACAACACAGCAGACCCCAGCUGUAGCUCUGACACCCUGAACAGUGAAGACUGGCUGCUGAAGAACUUCAGAGGAUUCUCUGCCUUCGCCUCCUUCAAGGACAUGCAGAGACUACUGACCACCUUCUCUGUGAUGGAGGCCCUGCCCCAGCUAACAGUGAGACAGUUAGCAGAGGUGUCCUCUAGUCCAGACCAGCUCAGCUCUGCUGCAGACGUCACCAUGCUGAUGAACUACGUACCCAACAUCCUCUUCACUGACUUCUUCAAUGACUUCUCUCUAGCCAUCACCGGUCAAGAGUCUAAGUUCCCAGUGGCGGUACGUUCAGCCAUGCUCCAGCAGGUGUUUGAACGCGGGAACCUAUCAGACCGCUCUGUUAGCGACCAGGAAGUACUCACCUGGCUUCAGAGCAGGCUCCGCCCACUGCUGAUCAACCUGUCCCCGCUCCACGUCGCCCCCCUCUUCAGUGUGGUCGCACAGAGGAACUGCAACAUCGGACAGCAGCUGGUGGAGGUGCUGAACGCCACCCUCCCUACACUUCAGGACAACACACAGGGAAACAUCUACGAUCAAAUCACCCUCUCCCUCCAAGGCUCCUCCCCACUCCGUUGCUAUGGCGCAAACUACAACCACAGUUUCUAUGGUUACCUGGAGAGUUCCUUCCUGAGUUUCGGCUUCCCCAACCUGACCACCUUCCUCUCCCUCAUACCCCAUAGCCAGAUGGAACAGCUGGUGAACUCUCUGCCUGUCUCUGACCUGGGUCGUUUCCUGCGCCGCCCCAACGUUGUCGACGACGACACAAAGCUCUGCCAACUCUACAGCAACUACGCCAAGACCCCACUGUUCCUGGGGACUGAGAGUAUCCCUGAGUCAGUGAGGCGUCCCACACUGCCGUGUGUCUGGCCCCAGGCUCUCAGCAGCAGUCAGAGGUCAGAGGUCAACGCCUGGUUUGACCUGAGGCUGAAGAACUACCUGCCCUUCCUCACCAGGAGCCUGGUGACCUCCGCCGCUGUCAAGACCGCCCCUUGUCUGGCCUUCCAGAAACUCAUCUCAAUUCUGGGGAGUUAUAACUACAGCGCUGCAGACUUUGUGGAGAGAGAUGUGUACAGGGAGACCAUCAAGACGUAUCUCACCUCAGCCUCGGCUCCUAAGUGUUACAAUGCCAGUGAUCCAGAGCUCAGCUCAACUGCCUGGUUUGCUGAGAACAUCGGACUCUUCAUCACUUAUCUUACCUUGGAAGACCUCAACACCUUCGGAUCAGCACAGGUACUGUACUGUGGUGUAUAGACACACACACACACACACACACACACACACACACACACACACACACACACACACACACACAGCUUCUACUUGAGCAUCAUUGAAGAGGAUGAAUUUCCAAUUAUCAAAUUGCUAAUUGAGUUUACUUCCUGAAUUGACUGCUUUCAAUUCAAACUGGCACAAACCUGGAAUGGAUGGCUUGUUAUUAAUCCCUGUGUGUGUUGUCUCCCUCCUCCUCCUCUUCCUCCUCCCCUUCCUCCUCCUCCUCCUCUUCCUCCUCCUCUUCUUCCCCUUCCUCCACCUCCUCAUCUUCCUCCUCUCCUUCUUCCCCGUCAUCCACCUCCUCCUCCUCACCUUCUUCCUCCUCCUCCUCCUCUUCCUCCUCUUCUUCCCCUUCCUCCACCUCCUCCUCCUCCACUUCCUCCUCCUCCUCUUCCUCAUCCUCCUGCUCACCUUCCUCACCUCCUCCUCCUCUUCCUCCUCUUCCUCCCCUUCCUCCUCCUCCUCCUCUCCCUCCUCCCCCUCUUCUUCCCCUUCCUCCACCUCAUCUUCCUCCUCCUCCACCUCCUCCUCCUCCUCCCCC